rnacentral:rRNA from 1 species
CGAAGGAUCCAAGCGUUAUCCGGAUUUAUUGGGUUUAAAGGGUGCGUAGGUGGGCAAGUAAGUCAGUGGUGAAAUCUCCGGGCUUAACCCGGAAACUGCCAUUGAUACUAUUUGUCUUGAAUACUGUGGAGGUCAGCGGAAUAUGUCAUGUAGCGGUGAAAUGCUUAGAUAUGACAUAGAACACCAAUUGCGAAGGCAGCUGGCUACACAAAUAUUGACACUGAGGCACGAAAGCGUGGGGAUCAAACAGGAUUAGAUACCCUGGUAGUCCACGCCCUAAACUAUGGAUACUCGACAUUUGCGAUAAACUGCAAGUGUCUGAGCGAAAGCAUUAAGUAUCCCACCUGGGAAUACGAUCGCAAGAUUG